GGUGAUACCGAGGGAGGCAAGGGAGUCGUCGGAAGAGGCGGAGAGAAGAGGGAGCGUCGGAGAUGGAUUCGGAGAGGGAUUGUUUGAGGUGGUGGAGAGAACACAGAUUCGGGACCUCGAUUCAGAGAGUCUGUUUGGACUCAAUAGCAGAGCUUGAAUUUACGAAUUGGAAUAUAGAGCAUGAAUAAUUCAAAAGCAAGUGAUUUAAUUACUGGGCUUGGAGAUAAAUAUGGACGACGAAGUCCGCUUGGUUCCCUUCUAUUCCAUCAAUUCAAGCCAUACAUUAAACAUUGAGGUCUUGAUUAUAUCUCCACCGCCAAGCUUUCUCACAACUGAACACAUGAACUUGCUCCCCAUUGACUUGAUUUUGAAAGAUACUUGACCACAACAAUAAUUUGGUGUUCGUGUCC